UACAUACUCAUUCCUAACUAAGAUAACUACUAGCUAGGCUAAUGUGUAGGAAAAAGAGUGUGGUCACGUCCAUAUGCUAAAAGCCUGAGAAACAGUAAGGAUACAGCUUGCAUCAUGUUUUUAAUAAUAAAAAAAACAAAUAAAAGCCAAAUGAAAAAAGAUUCUAAGCAAACUAUAUCAAACUUCAGACAGGAAGCAUUGAUAGCAGAAAAACAAGAGUUUUUAUUUUUUUGAAUCACUCAAACUCUAAUUUCAAAUUUUUCUUUCCAAUAUAAAGAAAUUCGCAGUCUUAGUAACACAUAGUUUGAAAAGAAAAGCAAACAUGAAGGGAGAAAGUACCUGCCUUUCCGGAUACCAGAGGCUACGGUGGGGAUAGAAGCGGCGGUGCACGACGGUGUGCAGCUCGAUUGAAACCUCAGAAUGUUAAAACAGGAACAGAUGUACCAACAAGCAUGGCUUGUGCAUCAAUGGCAGUCAUCAUCAACAUGGCAGGGUUUGGCAGUGAACAAAGUCAACAUAGCAUGGCUUGAUCUGAUUUGAUUUUUAUUGUAAUUUAUUUUUGGCUUUAUUCUUAGUUUGUAAUUUGAUUUGGUUUUAAAACUCUAAUUAGAUAAAAAUGUAAAUUUAUGAUACAUAAUAAAAUUAUUUAUUGUAAUUAUUUUUA